UACGUAGGGGGCGAGCGUUGUCCGGAUUUAUUGGGCGUAAAGAGCGUGUAGGCGGCCAGGUAGGUCUGCUGUGAAAACUCGAGGCUCAACCUCGAGACGUCGGCGGAAACCAUCUGGCUAGAGUCCGGAAGAGGAGAGUGGAAUUCCUGGUGUAGCGGUGAAAUGCGCAGAUAUCAGGAAGAACACCCGUGGCGAAGGCGGCAUCCUGGACCAACAUUGACGCUGAGGAGCGAAAGCUAGGGGAGCAAACGGG
rnacentral:rRNA from 1 species